rnacentral:rRNA from 1 species
AACGUAGGACGCAAGCGUUUAUCCGGAGUACUGGGCGUAAAGCGCGGGCAGGCGGCUCGCAACGUCUGAUGUGAAAUCUCCUCGCUCAACGGGGAGAGGCCAUUGGAAACGGUCGAGCUGGAGGGCAGUAGAGGUAGGCGGAAUUCCGGGUGGAGUGGUGAAAUGCGUAGAUAUCGUAAGGAAGACCAGUGGCGAAGGCGGGU